rnacentral:rRNA from 1 species
GCUAAAAAUCUAGCCCACUACAAUUACUCUCCCUUCACAGAUAAUUAAAAUAUUUUAUGACCUCAGUAAAGAUGAUUGAAAUUUUAACAAGAGCUAUACUAACGUACCGCAAGGGAAAAGUGAAAUAAAAUGAAAACUUAAGCACGAAAAAGUAAAGAUUAAAACUUGUACCUUUUGCAUCAUGGUUUAACUAGUCUAAUCAAGCAAAAAGACUUUCAGUUUGACUUCCCGAAACCAAGUGAGCUACUCCAGGACAGCUAAAUGAGCAAACCCAUCCCUGUUGCAAAAGGGUGGGAAGAUCCUAUAGUAGUGGUGAUAAACCUAACGAACUUGGUGAUAGCUGGUUACUCAAGAAAAGAAUCUUAGUCCAACCUAAAGAACACCUUCCCUUAUAAUAACUAAACUUUAGAGCAAUUCAAAUAAGGUACAGCCUAUUUGAAACAGGAUACAACCUACAACAGCGGGUAAUUACAAAAUACUGAACCAAGUAGGCCUAAAAGCAGCCACCCUAAAAGAGCGUUAAAGCCUGAUUCUCCUUAUUUCUAAUACCUCAACCCAUAAAAAACCCCUCACCUAUAUUGAGUACUUCUAUAUCCCUAUAGAAACUUUUAUGUUAAAACUAGUAACAAGAAGACACUUCUCUUUUAAUGUAAGUGUAAAUCAGAAUGGAUUCCCCACUGAUAUUUAUACAACCACUAGCAGCACCUUACCAAGCAAACCCUGCUUUUUUAACUGUUAACCUAACACUAGAACAUUUCAAGAAAGAUUAAACGAAAAAGAAGGAACUCGGCAAAUAUUUAUCCCGCCUGUUUACCAAAAACAUCGCCUCUUGACUUUUAAAUAAGAGGUCCAGCCUGCCCAGUGACACCAGUUUAACGGCCGCGGUAUACUGACCGUGCAAAGGUAGCGUAAUCACUUGUUUUUUAAAUAAAGACUAGUAUGAAAGGCACCACGAGGAUCAAACUGUCUCCUUUUUCCAAUCUAUGAAACUAAUCUUCCCGUGAAAAAGCGGGAAUUCUUAUAUAAGACGAGAAGACCCUAUGGAGCUUAAGACUAUAACAACUGCCUAUCUUAAAUUCAUGCAUCUUAAUUAUACGUCUUAGGUUGGGGUGACCGCGGAGUAAAACUUAUCCUCCACGCUGAAAAGGACCCCCUUUAAACAAAGAGCUACAACUCUACGUAUCAAUAAAUUGACAGCAAUUGACCCAUAUAUUUGAUCAACGAAACAAGUUACCCUAGGGAUAACAGCGCAAUCCACUUUGAAAGCCCUUAUUGACAAGUGGGUUUACGACCUCGAUGUUGGAUCAGGGUAUCCAAGUGGUGCAGCCGCUACUAAAGGUUCGUUUGUUCAACGAUUUAAACCCUACGUGAUCUGAGU